rnacentral:tRNA from 1 species
GCCCGGGUGGCAGAUGUGGUCAUUGCGGCUGUUUGAAAAACCGAAGGAGUCCGUUCGAAACGGACCCCGGGCA